AUUGAACGCUGGCGGCAUGCCUUACACAUGCAAGUCGAACGGUAACGGGCCUUCGGGUGCCGACGAGUGGCGCACGGGUGAGUAAUACAUCGGAACGUGCCCGAUCGUGGGGGAUAACGAGGCGAAAGCUUUGCUAAUACCGCAUACGAUCUACGGCUGAAAGCAGGGGACCGCAAGGCCUUGCGCGGACGGAGCGGCCGAUGGCAGAUUAGGUAGUUGGUGGGAUAAAAGCUUACCAAGCCGACGAUCUGUAGCUGGUCUGAGAGGAUGAUCAGCCACACUGGGACUGAGACACGGCCCAGACUCCUACGGGAGGCAGCAGUGGGGAAUUUUGGACAAUGGGCGCAAGCCUGAUCCAGCCAUGCCGCGUGCAGGAUGAAGGCCUUCGGGUUGUAAACUGCUUUUGUACGGAACGAAAAGCCUUCUUUUAAUACAGGAGGGUCAUGACGGUACCGUAAGAAUAAGCACCGGCUAACUACGUG
rnacentral:rRNA from 1 species